GGGUAUGCUUCUGAAGAUCUCUUCUGCUAGGAAUCAUUGGCUAAAUUUGUUGAAAUAGGGACAUUCUCCCAGAUUACACUUUUCUUUUUCACCUCUCAAGGGUGCUUUUCAAUAAAAAAGUGUCCCCUAAAGAUGUAAGCCUAUAAGCUUGGCAGGACUUUUCAUAAGCAACUUUAAUAUUUUUAUUUUUCCUUGAAGAAGGCUUGGAAAAUUCAUUUCCAUUGCUGAGCUGUUGGGAGGUACUUAGUGCCUGCAAUAAAAAUCAUGUAACAAAUGGCUCCUCUGUCGUGGUUAACAGGCUCUGAUAGCAGAGAUGGUGUGAUUGGUGACAAAGAGCCCACGGCAAUUUUGAUUUUGCCAAAUAAAAAUAGACCAAAGAAAUGGAAUUCUGGAGGGUGCUGUUGAUGCCUGAAAGGAGCCAGGGGAAUGUUCAGGCUGUGCCAGUCUUUUCAUGUCACACAUGAGACUCUGAGAUUUCAAAAAAAUCUUUUGCCCAAGCUGGUGAGUGGCCAGAAGUAGACUUAGGGCUUCUUGCACACUUCCUUCUUCUUCUUCUUCUUCUUCUUCUUUUUUUUUUUUUAUUAGAGUAUAGUUAAUUUACAGUGUUGUGCCAAUUUCUGCUGUAUAGCAUAGUGACCCAGUCAUAUACAUAUAUACAUUCUUUUUCUCAUACUGUCUUCCAUCGUGGUCCAUCCCAAGAGACUGGACAUAGUUCCCUGUGCUGUACAGUAGGACCCCAUUGUUUAUCCAUUCUAAAUGUAAUAGGGAAACAUCUUUCUUUGCCUCCAAACUGCUCUAAACAUUUUUGUUUCUGAAACCUGUUUAAUAUUUAAAACAAGUUCAGAUAUCUUUGUGGUGGUCCCAGUUCUCCUGAACUCUUCACCAAAAUUGCUUGCCCUCUGCGCCAUAGAUGGUCCGCAGGUGAGGAGAUCACCAUCACCUUACACCUCACCUGGAUCCUGGACUUCAGGGAGACCACCUGGCCUGGUACUCGCCCACCCACCAUUUUUGAUCUCCCCUUUUGAGCAGUGGGAACAGUUUAAGGCUUGACUUAAACCAUAGCAUAUGAGCAAAUGUUAAAAAUUGAAAUCUGGGCUUUCGGCCAUGCAGAAUGGGGUGGGAGUUAUUAUUUUCUGCCAAUGAAUAUAAUGAAUAAAAUGAAUAUCCACUAUUUUUUUUUUUUUUUGGAUUGGGAGAAUGAGGCAGGAAAAUGUCUUACCAGGAAGCCCCUGCCUGAACUCUCCAAGUGUUUGUGUUGUCCUUGGCACUGCUGCAGUAUUGUCACUUUAGGGCACAAAGACCUGAUUAAAGAAAACCCCGCCGGAGUAAGUCCUGGUCCAUUAGUUUGUGUUCAUUUGCAUGUCCCUUGCUUUCUCAGAACAUGUACUUGACCUGGGAGCAUCUCUGUUACCAUGGAAUCCUGUUUCUUUAGCUGUUAGGCACCAACAUUUGAAUAGUUUCCCUUUCAAGGCAGAAAGUCUUUGUGCUCUACAAGCAUCUCUCUACAAAGCACUAGAACCGUGCAUUAUUGCUGCAUAAUUAUCCAACUGGUAGUAACGCUAGGGGUCUGUCCUGGAUGCAUUAUAUGGUAUAUUAUCAAGAGCAAGAAUUUUACUCUUUCGGCCUUGGAAGGGAUUUUCGAAAGCACGAGAGUAAACCGUUGCUCCAAGUAGUUAAACGUUUGCCCAGUCUCAUGCUGUGCAGUGGUGGCACAAUGGUGACUGAUGUUCCAGGCUGGACCUCCUAUUGAUCUUUAUCUUGUUAUUAAAUAAUUUUAACUUUUUUUGAUAGGAGAUAAAUCUUGAACAAUUUUCAAAAGAAAUUAGGAUUUUUCCAAACAAAUUCAUUUUGUGCUUAUUCAUUGUUUCUUUGGACUUGGAGGUGGUGUUAUGUUUUUGUGUAUGUGUGUUUCUGUGCAUGUGUAGGAAGGCAGUCCUUCUGACCUCUGUGCCAGUAUAGGCUGGCACUGGGAGAAGCUUGAAUCAGUUUAUAUAGAAAACCCUAAGGACUCAACCCAAAAGCUACUUGAAUUGAUCAAUAAAUUCAGCAAAGUAGCAGGAUAUAAGAUUAACAUUCAAAAAUCAGUCACAUUUUGGAGUUCCCGUCGUGGUUCAGUGGUUAACUAAUCCAGCUAGGAACCAUGAGGUUGCCAGUUCAAUCCCUGGCCUUGCUCAGUGGGUUAAGGAUCCAGCGUUGCUGUGAGCUGUGGUGUAGGUCGCAGACUCGGCUCGGAUCCCGAGUUGCUGUGGCCCUGGCAUAGGCUGGCGGCUACACCUCUGAUUCGACCCCUGGCCUGGUAACCUCUAUAUGCUGAGGGAGUGGCCCGAGAAAAGGCAAAAAGACAAAAAAAAAAAAAAAAA
rnacentral:lncRNA from 1 species